ensembl:lncRNA
CUCCUCAGCACCAGGCUGUGAUCGGUCUGCUGACUCUCACGUUCCUGUUGUUCUGGAGGUGAAUCGCUCUGCAACACACGCAAGACUUUACAACCAGGAAGUGAGACCAGCGCGUAAAGACCAACGUGAAGACGCAGGAACACGUCUCGGCCUCCAGUCGAGGUCUCUUCAGUGGGGAUGUGCUCACGGCUCAGGUACGAUGACCCCGUUGACCUCCUGCGGUUCCUCCUGUCGGCUCAAAGGACCCAGAGACCGAAUCAAAGAACACGUCUUUGGACGCACAAACACUCUCCUUCCACCAGUAGUCGCAGCAGGAUCUGUCCUCUGUCCUCGCAGGUCUGCAUGGUCCUGGUUCUGUGGACGUCCUCGGGGACCCUGCUGCUCAGUCGUUGGGGACGUGUUCCCGUUCCGGGGGAACCGACCGCAAAACCCUCAAAGGCCGAAGAACAAAAGCAGUGAAGGCGAUAAAUCUCCCUCUGUCCUCGGAUCAGUUCUGGUGGGAAAACAACAACACAAACAACGCCGAUGAAAACGACGGAUGAACACAAACAAUGCAACCGCGCCGACGGAUCAUGCGGAAGGGAACAUGUGACUUGGUUGUGGGCGGGGCCUCCGCGAGGGAAAGACAGACGUUCUGCACGUAGGCCCGUCGCCGGGGCGACGGACCACCAACCAGCACAAUUCCCGUCAGACGGUGACCCACAUCACACGGUCGCCAUGACGAC